GGCGACCGUAGUUCAAGGGUAGAAUUGCGCCUUCCCAAGGCGCAGGCCCGGGUUCGAGUGGGUUCACCG